UCAAUUUAGUCCUCGAUUAUAGUGAUUUUUCUCGAUUUAGUUUUAAAUGUCUUUUUGUGCUUAAUUGAGUACUCGACUUCGAUGGUUUUACCUAAUUGAGUUCCCUGUAACUAUAACUUGAUAAUUUCCCCUCGAUUAAUGCACAAUUUAGUUUUCGACUAUUGUAAAUGAUGUGUUUGUGACAAUAAAUUAUUAGUGUGUCGAAAAUGAAUAUUUUCAACUAUUAGAAAG